rnacentral:sRNA from 1 species
CGAAAGGUGCGCGAGCGCUGCCCGCGCGGGGACCACAACCCAAGUCGCGGCCGCCGCAGCCAUGCGCUGGGUGUGGGCGCUGCUGAAGAAUGCGUCCCUGGCAGGGGCGCCCAAGUACAUAGAGCACUUCAGCAAGUUCUCCCCGUCCCCGCUGUCCAUGAAGCAGUUUCUGGACUUCGGAUCCAGCAAUGCCUGUGAGAAAACCUCCUUCACCUUCCUCAGGCAGGAGCUGCCUGUGCGCCUGGCCAACAUCAUGAAAGAGAUCAACCUGCUUCCCGACCGAGUGCUGAGCACACCCUCUGUGCAGCUGGUGCAGAGCUGGUGAGACCCCUGGCUCAGUCCCUGCACCUCCCACUCCAUCGCCAGUGUCCCUGGGCUCAGGGAUGGCAUCUCCAAGCUUUUAGCAGCUUUGAGGGUGGGGUGGGGACAGACAGGAGACACCAAAGCCCCAAGCGCCUGGAGUUGCCUAGGGUCACGUGGGAAUCUGAGACCAGAGCAGGACUGAGGUCAAGCUCCUAGUCUCUGUGUCUAGCCCUCUUCUUACCACCCACCU